rnacentral:rRNA from 1 species
AGUGAACGCUGGCGGUAGGCCUAACACAUGCAAGUCGAACGGCAGCACAGUAAGAGCUUGCUCUUACGGGUUGCGAGUGGCGGACGGGUGAGGAAUACAUCGGAAUCUACUUUUUCGUGGGGGAUAACGUAGGGAAACUUACGCUAAUACCGCAUACGACCUACGGGUGAAAGCAGGGGAUCUUCGUACCUUGCGCGAUUGAAUGAGCCGAUGUCGGAUUAGCUAGUUGGCGGGGUAAAGGCCCACCAAGGCGACGAUCCGUAGCUGGUGUGAGAGGAUGAUCAGCCACCCUGGAACUGAGACACGGUCCAGACUCCUAAGGGAGGCAGCAGUGGGGAAUAUUGGACAAUGGGCGCAAGCCUGAUCCAGCCAUACCGAGUGGGUGAAGAAGGCCUUCGGGUUGUAAAGCCCUUUUGUUGGGAAAGAAAAGCAGCAGGUUAAUACCCAGCUGUUCUGACGGUAACCAAAGAAUAAGCACCGGCUAACUUCGUG